UACGAAGGGGGCUAGCGUUGUUCGGAAUUACUGGGCGUAAAGCGCACGUAGGCGGAUACUUAAGUCAGGGGUGAAAUCCUGGAGCUCAACUCCAGAACUGCCUUCGAUACUGGAGAGCUUGAGUCCGGGAGAGGUGAGUGGAACUGCGAGUGUAGAGGUGAAAUUCGUAGAUAUUCGCAAGAACACCAGUGGCGAAGGCGGCUCACUGGCCCGGUACUGACGCUGAGGUGCGAAAGCGUGGGGAGCAAACAGGG
rnacentral:rRNA from 1 species